rnacentral:rRNA from 1 species
CACGUAGGGCGCAAGCGUUGUCCGGAAUCAUUGGGCGUAAAGAGCGUGUAGGCGGCCAACUAAGUCCUGCGUGAAAUCUCGGGGCUCAACCCCGAGCGGUCGUGGGAAACUGGUUGGCUAGAGUGCGGGAGAGGAGAGUGGAAUUCCUGGUGUAGCGGUGAAAUGCGCAGAUAUCAGGAAGAACACCAGAGGCGAAGGCGGCGCACUGGACGAUAACUGACACUCAAUUGCGAAAGCGUGGGGAGCAAACAGG